ACUAGACGGAGGAGUGCGUCGCGGAACUGAUGUUUACAAAGCCUUGGCUCUUGGGGCAAAAGCUGUAAUGAUCGGUCGACCUGUUAUCUAUGGCCUGGCUGCGAAGGGAGAGUCUGGAGUGAAGACGGUCAUCGAAAUGCUUCAGAAUGAACUGGAGCUAACCAUGGCCCUCACAGGAUGCCCCAGUAUAAAGGAUAUUACGAGGAACCAUGUGCGGACCAAGCGUGAUCUUUCCUUGAGAUCCAUGAUCUAAGGACCUUAUACUUGCGUAAGUAUACACCACUCCUACCUCUGAAUAAGUGAUCUAAGCAAUGAAAACAUAAACUAUCAUCCUCUGUCUACUUAAUUUGCG
rnacentral:misc_RNA from 1 species